rnacentral:rRNA from 1 species
GUGCCAGCAGCCGCGGUAAUACGUAGGUGGCAAGCGUUAUCCGGAAUUAUUGGGCGUAAAGCGCGCGUAGGCGGUUUUUUAAGUCUGAUGUGAAAGCCCACGGCUCAACCGUGGAGGGUCAUUGGAAACUGGAAGACUUGAGUGCAGAAGAGGAAAGUGGAAUUCCAUGUGUAGCGGUGAAAUGCGCAGAGAUAUGGAGGAACACCAGUGGCGAAGGCGACUUUCUGGUCUGUAACUGACGCUGAUGUGCGAAAGCGUGGGGAUCAAAC